rnacentral:rRNA from 1 species
CUUUAACUUACAUUCACAUCGCCCGGGAACUACGAGCUAAGCUUAAAACCCAAGGGACUUGACGGUACCCCACAUCCACCUAGAGGAGCCUGUCCUAUAAUCGAUAAUCCCCGUUUAACCUCACCACUCUUAGCCUAUCAGCCUGUAUACCUCCGUCGUCAGCUUACCACGUGAGCGACUCCAGUGAGCUUGAUGUCUACUCGUCAAAACGUCAGGUCAAGGUGCAGCUUAUAGAGUGGGAAGAGAUGGGCUACACUCUCUAACCUAGAAAACACGAAAGACUAUUUAUGAAACCUAGUCGGAAGGCGGAUUUAGUAGUAAAAAGAGACAAGAAAGCUCUUUUUAACAAGGCACUGGGGUGUGUACACACCGCCCGUCACCCUCU